GCAAAAGCAGCUGAAAUCCAGCUUGGAAAAGGGGUGGGGAAGAAGGAGGAGAAAGAAAUGAAUCGAUAAUUUAUUUUUUUUUUAAACAACCCCCCAACAACCACCCAAGAAUUUAAACUGGUCUCAACCUCUUCAAGGAAAGUUAAUCAAUAAACUAAUUAACUGCUUUGCAAGCUCUGUAAUUAAUAGAUCAAAAGUAUUAGCGCCAGGGCUCUGAAACUGCAAAGAGCUCAGACCAACACCUCGCUUCCAAGGAGGCGGCAUUGCAAGAUUCUUUAGAGUUGAUUUUUUUUUAUUAUGAUUAUUUAAUUUUUUUGCACCAAAAAAAAUCGGGAUUUUUAAUUUUUUUUAAAGGCUAAAAAAAAUCAGAAACAACGAGGCGGCGACAGGGAGGAAUUUCCCACCCCCCUAAAAAAAACCACAUUUUUUUUUUUACAGAUUUGGGGAAUCUUGGUUCAAGCAUCCAGAGCCACCAACCAGCCUCUGCUCCCUUUGUUUGAUUCGCCGCUGGGUAGUGUUGGGACCGUAGUUAGGGCUGGGAUUGUGUUCUCGCUUCUUCCGCUGGGGCCGGGUAGGCGAUUCGAAGCUCGCCCCCAGAUUCGCCCCUUUGGACCAAUGAAGGAACCCGAUGCUAUUAAACUUUUCAUCGGGCAGAUCCCACGGAAUUUGGAGGAGAAGGAUUUGAAACCCAUCUUCGAGCAAUUUGGGAAGAUCUACGAGUUGACAGUGAUUAAGGAUAAAUACACGGGCAUGCACAAAGGAUGUGCGUUCCUGACCUACUGUGCUCGGGAAUCGGCCCUCAAGGCACAGAGUGCACUGCAUGAGCAGAAAACGCUCCCGGGGAUGAACCGGCCGAUCCAGGUGAAGCCAGCAGACAGCGAAAGCAGAGGAGAAGACCGGAAGCUGUUUGUGGGGAUGCUGGGCAAGCAGCAGACGGACGAAGACGUCAGGAAAAUGUUCGAGCCCUUCGGGAACAUCGAUGAGUGCACGGUGCUGCGGGGGCCAGAUGGCACCAGCAAAGGCUGCGCCUUCGUGAAGUUCCAGACCCACGCUGAGGCUCAGGCCGCCAUCAACACACUUCACGGCAGCCGGACAUUGCCGGGCGCCUCCUCCAGCCUGGUGGUGAAAUUCGCCGACACGGAGAAGGAACGGGGCCUGCGCCGGAUGCAGCAGGUGGCCAGCCAGUUGGGCAUGUUCAGCCCCAUCGCCCUGCAGUUCGGGGCCUACAGCGCCUACACCCAAGCACUAAUGCAGCAGCAGGCAGCCUUGGUCGCUGCUCACUCCGCCUACCUCAACCCCAUGGCCACCAUGGCGGCCGUCCAGAUGCAGCAGAUGGCCACCAUCAACCCCAACGGCCUCAUCGCCACGCCCCUCACGCCUCUCACUCCCUCCUCAGGUACCAGCACGCCACCCGCCAUCGCUGCCACCCCCGUGUCCGCCAUCCCAGCCACGCUCAGCGUCAACGGCUACAGCCCAGUCCCCACACAGACCACAGGGCAGCCGGCCUCCGAGGCUCUCUACACCAACGGGGUCCACCCGUACCCAGGUACGCCCCCGCCCUGCCUGCUCCCCCCGCCCCGGCUCAGCCAAGGGCUCCCGGUAACCCCCUCCCCCUCGUCUCCCCUCGCAGCUCAGAGCCCGGCUGCCCCCGUGGACCCCCUGCAGCAGGCCUACGCCGGGAUGCAGCACUACACAGCCGCCUACCCCGCUGCCUAUGGGCUGGUGAGCCCGGCCUUCCCCCAGCAGCCGGCCAUCCUCACGCAGCAGCCGCCCCCUCAGCAGCAGCAGCAACGGGAAGGCCCCGAGGGCUGUAACAUCUUCAUCUACCACCUGCCCCAGGAGUUCACUGACUCCGAGAUCCUGCAGAUGUUCCUGCCCUUCGGGAACGUCAUCUCUGCCAAAGUCUUCGUGGAUCGGGCAACCAAUCAGAGCAAAUGUUUCGGUUUCGUAAGUUUUGACAAUCCCACCAGCGCCCAGGCUGCCAUCCAGGCCAUGAACGGCUUCCAGAUCGGCAUGAAGCGCCUGAAAGUGCAGCUCAAGCGACCGAAAGACGCCAACCGGCCGUACUAAGGCCCCAGAAAGAAGAACAUAACCUCCUGCUAGCAGUUCUUUCCGGCUGUGCUGCGCAGAGCCCUGUCUCAGCCAGGUCUGGAGCUCAAUGGAGGAGGGAGCCCCCAACUGACCUCCACCUGGCCCAUCCUCCCUCUCCCCCACCCACUGCAGCUCAUCCCUCGCCUGUGCCUCAUCGCCACACUGAUCCCGGCCACUUGACCUGCCAGCUGGGAGGACGAAGCCGAUCGGCGGAACCAAAAGCACCUGCCUCCACCCAUCAGCCCCGGGCUGCGCCUAGCCCCACCAGCAGCCUGCAGUUUGGGGUGGGGGCAGGCUUUUCACCUGUGAUCUCGGCCCUGCCUCAUCAAGAGCAGAGGAGGGGGAAAGGAGCCCCCAGCCCUGAUCCACCCUGCCCCCGGAGUAGCCAUGAAUUCCUGCCACCGUAGCCCAGGGGGGAACAGACUGGGCUCAGCCCUAGGGAAUCAGCUGGAGGGCUUGACCCUGCCCCGGGGCGGGGGGGGGGGGAGGCCCUGUCCCUGUGUCCAGCUGGAAGGCGGGGGUAGGGGGGUCCAUCCUCUCAGCUUUCUUCUCACCCAAUGGGACCAAAAGCGGCUCCGAGUACCGAA